rnacentral:snoRNA from 1 species
AUCAUCAGUAGUGGUUAAUACUAUCUAAAGAUAAUAUUAAUUACCAAAAUUUUUAUAGGAACCGAAUGUUUCGAUGAUCUGUGUAUUUCAAAACGGAGUUUGUGGCCGGAAACUUGUGUUCCGGUUUGGGGCUCUGUUAAAGUUGAUACUGGUACGGGAUCCAUUGAUUCAAGUCAUAACCCAUAGCUGAAUGCGCGCUGACCGCCCCCAAACAGGGCGGCCACAGAACGCAUUUCGUUUCCGGUUUCUUAGAUUGAAAACUGCUAUGAAGAGGUGCGGUAAGACUCUGUAAAAGGAGUCUCCGUAGGAGCAUGGUUUCCAGAGAAAUGUGUAAUGCGUUUUGAGAGUUUGGAAUUACCUAUUGUGCCCCUUUUCAUGCCAGGACAUUG